rnacentral:rRNA from 1 species
GACGAACGCUGGCGGCGUGCUUAACACAUGCAAGUCGAACGAAGAGCGACGGAAGCUUGCUUCUAUCAAUCUUAGUGGCGAACGGGUGAGUAACGCGUAAUCAACCUGCCCUUCAGAGGGGGACAACAGUUGGAAACGACUGCUAAUACCGCAUACGAUCUAAUCUCGGCAUCGAGGAUAGAUGAAAGGUGGCCUCUACAUGUAAGCUAUCACUGAAGGAGGGGAUCGCGUCUGAUUAGCUAGUUGGAGGGGUAACGGCCCACCAAGGCGACGAUCAGUAGCCGGUCUGAGAGGAUGAACGGCCACAUUGGGACUGAGACACGGCCCAGACUCCUACGGGAGGCAGCAGUGGGGAAUCUUCCGCAAUGGACGAAAGUCUGACGGAGCAACGCCGCGUGAGUGAUGACGGCCUUCGGGUUGUAAAGCUCUGUUAAUCGGGACGAAAGGC